AUGGCAUCCCCCAGCACCGCUGCUCGGCACGGCCAGCCCAAGACCCCAUUACCGUGGGUUUACGGGGCAGGGGGGGGCCGGGAGCCGAGGCUCUUCCCCCCCCUCUCCAAGGGCAGGCACCUUCCAGCACCCGUGCCCUGGGAUGCUCCUGGUUGCGUCCCUCGGGAUGACCAGGCUGGUGUUUCUGCACCAACCCACACGUGUUCAGCAGCCGGCCGGUGCCGUGGGGGUCUGGGAAUGAGCUCCAUCCCUGCGGGGUCUUGGGCACCUCAACCCAACAGACGAAGUCUUCACGGGGAGAAGGGAAAUGCCACGUGGAUGAGGAGCAGCGAGGAUGAACUCCCCCGAGGAGGAGGUGAGCGUGGCAGGGCUCGGCGUCAAGGCCUGGGGGGAUGUCCUCCUCCUGCACGAGCGCGAAGCCUCCCCGGCCUCCUUUCGUUGCCGGAGGAGAACAGAAAGUCUCCAAGUUAUAAAAAGGAGGUUGCGAAAGUCACCGGCUUCGCGCAGAAAUGGAGCGGGCGAGAGCUGGAGGGGAGGUUAAAAAUAUCCCCGGCUCCGCGGGAGGCUGAGGGCGGGAGUGGGGGGGACCGGGGGACACGGGGACGGGGCCGGCCUGCACGAAGCUGGGCUCCGGGGACAGCUGGGAGCACCCCAGGGAGAGGGGCCGGGGGCAGGGAGGUGGAUCGGGGGCACCUCUGGACCUCGGUGACCUUAGGAACAGCUGGACUGGGGCAAUGGGGGAAAAGCUGGAUAGGGCGACCCCGUGAUGGUGAUGGGGACAGCUGGACUGGGGAUGUGGGGGCACAUUGGGGUGGGCAGGCGAGCCCUGACAUCGGGGGAGAGCAGCUGGAUGGGCAGUGUGGGGUUGGCAAUGGGAACAGCUGGAUUUGGGGUUGGGGAACAGCUGGAUUUGGGGUUGGCAGUGGGAACAGAUGGAUUUGGGGUUGGGAAGCAGCUGGAUUUGGGGUUGGCAAUUGGAAGAGCUAGAUCUAGGGUUGGAGCAGCUGGAUCUGGGGUUGGGGAACAGCUGGAUUUGGGGUUGGCAAUGGGAACAGCUGGAUUUGGGGUUGGGGAACAACUGGAAGGGAUGCCCACCAUGGUGACAGUCACAGCCAGAUGAGGGUCAUGAGAGGAACGGGCUGCCCAGCCGAGACCGAGGAGGGCUCCUUUCCUUCCCCUCUGUCCCCGGAGCAGUCGUGGACGUUCCCCUCUUCCCGGAUGAACUUGAUUAAGUUAACGCUCGUCUCCGCGCCGCUCUCCAGAGCAGGGAGUCGGCAGCGGGGUGGCAGGAACAAGGUCAUUAAAGCAGAAAGAAAAAUACAUUAGGAAUGUUCAACUGCUCAGUCUAGCCUGAAAUGUGCUUAAAUCAGCCCUGAGUAAACAAUGAGGCAGGAUUAGUCGCAAUUAGUUUUCAUUAGGAAGGUGGCAUCUCCCUCCCCUGCUCCCCAGGGGCUGCUGCCCUCCCUGGUGGGCACCGGGGGACACGGCAUCAGGAUCCGGCCCCAGCCACGCAAUGGGGUGCAGGGGAAGGGCGCAGGGCUCGGGGACGGAGCCUGGAGGGUCACAAACACGCGGGUGUCGGCGUCCUUCCCCGCGCGGGGGCUGCAGGGAGCCGCGUUAUCUCCGCCAAGGCAGGCACAAGGGGCCGGCAGCAGGCAGAGCUUCAAAGGGAACGUGUAAAUCCGGCGUAUGCAAAACUCCAGCCGGCCCCGCAGAUAAACAGCGAUGUGGCUGGGCGUCCUCUGCCAGCCCGCGGCUGCCGCAGCGCCAGAGAGGAGUGCUGGGCCUCGGGGUGGUGCUCAGCGCCUCGGGGUGGUGCUCAGCGCCUCGGGGGGAAGCUCAGCCUCAGGGCGAUGCUGGGCCUCAGAGCGAUGCUCGGCCUCGGGGUGAUGCUCGGCCUCGGGGUGAUGCUUGUCUACGAGGUGACGUUUGUCCCUGGGGUGAUGCUCGGCCUCGGGGCGAUGCGCAUCCUCAGGGCAAUGCUCCU
ensembl:lncRNA